ACUCUACUCCUGUUGAUGUGUGUUAGAAAAGUGGGAAGCUACAAAGAGACUGUAGGAUUGGUAGAAUGGGAAUAUGGAUCUCUGCAAGAAGGUGAAUAGAAGCCCAAGGCCAGGCUUGGAUGAAGUAAAUCGGUAGAUUCCUACUUAUUUAUGGCUGAUUCUUUUUCGGAAUGAUCAUGAACUUUAUGGCCCAGUUUUUCAAAACGUCUCCAUGUUUAAAAGGAACUUUAUCGACCACCCUGAGUAUGGCCAUUCUAUGUCAAACCUUAUCAUUCAGAACAUCCUGGUUAAUAGGGGAAGCUAGACCAUAUGAAGAAAUAGAUAAUUUCUGUCCAGAGAAAGGAAUGAUCCUUGCAAACACCACUGCUGUGGGAAUGCAACCUAAUUUAGAUCAAACACCUGCAUAAGAUAAAAGCAGGUGGAAGAGGAAGAAGAAAAGUCAUAAACAUCAUCGUCAUCUUAGCCUUUUCUCCCAGCAAUUUCAGGGUGCCUUUUAAAUGGUAGAUUAGCAAGAGUUCUACACACGGCUCUGCCCACCAGACAUUACUCUCCAUCACUAAUAGAUUCAUGUGUGCCACUAAUUAGAUGACAGGG